ACUGAGAAAGUUGACUAAUUCUAAAUGCCAGCCACUUGCAGAGAUGUUCAUUCAGAAUUGACAGAAUAGAAGAACCUAAGCCUUUAGAAUUAUGCAGAGGGCAGUAUAAUCCUUAAAGAAUAAAGGCUAUUCUAUGCAGAAUAAUAUGAAUAUAAUAGUAUUUCUUUUACCUUUCUCAUUUUCAUAUAGGAUAGAAGUCAGAUUUUUCUUUACAGAGUAUGUAUUUAGUUUAUCAAAUCUUGCCAGCCUAGAUGUCUUUCAAAUCACAAGUAUGGAGAAAUUUGGUAGUGUUAAAUACCUCGUAUAUAUGGCUAAUUUUCGUUUUAAACAAGGCCUGAAUUGCUACAUACUAUAAGCUCUGCGUAUUCAUUGCUCAAAGCUAUAGUCCAUCAAGUCACUUGGCGUGUUUCCAGCACAUUUUAGUUCUCUUACUUCAUAUUCUUUGGAGAGGCUGUUAUGUAGCCUGAUACUACUACCACCAAUUUCUAGUUUGGCUACUUAAGCUGUUUGUGAGCUGACCUCACCAUACUGCUUUGAGAACUAUGAUGAAAGUUACAACUGUGGAAUGAUCUGUCUGAAUAGUUGCAAGUGUUUGUCUUUGCAUCUUUCUAGCAUGCAAGGAGGGACUAGACAUAGUCCUCAAAUACUACAUGAAUGUUUCUUAUAUCUUCUUUUUUUUUUUUCCUGAAUGAGAACCAGUUUAUAAUGGUUUAUGGGGGUUUUCUUCUUCCUUUUUACUUUGCACACUAGAAAAUAAGAGUGUUUUUUAAAAAUAAGAAUUAUAUUUGAAAGUGCAUGUAAAGGACAUUUAACCAUGCUGGUAUUUGAAAGGACCAUAAUUAGAAUAAAUGUCAGACUUAAUUUUAUUAACAGUAGGUAUGAUCCUGACCCUGAUGUCAGGUUUAUUAUUCUGUAAUUUUAAUGUCCUUUUACUAGAGCAUUACAUAAACUUUUUUCCAAAAGGGACAAAUUAAGCUUUUAAUUUUUUUAAUAUGGGAGGAACUUGAGUAGAUUAGCCUUUGAGAAGAAUGAUUAGUGCCUUUUUAAAACUUGAACCUAACUAAAAAUAACUUUGUACCAUAUUUAAACCAAUUUAGGGGUAUGCCACCAUUCUGUGGGUAUUUUUUACAUUUAAGGAACUAAGAAUGAACAAUGGUAUAAAUCUACCAACUAGAUAAGUGUCUAGCAAUGCAGAAAUUGCUGUUUGGGAGCGGUGUUGCUAUUUCUACUUGUUGAAGUAAUCUGAUGGUUGAUCUCCAAUGGUUGAAAGAUCCAGAAAUGUAAAACCGAAGAUAAAUGUGGCACAGGUAGAAAGUAAAAAUAGUAGAUAUAUUCCUGAUAGGUAACAAAUUAGCAUCAGCAACAAAAAUCUAAACAGUUGAGCAACUUUUCAACUAUUUAGGAUGUAGUAAUCUGAAGUCUCCAUGACAGCUUGUUUGAAAUGCCCUUUGUUUAGAAUAUUGUGUUGCUUUUGUUGUGAUUUUAAUUGUUAGUUUGGAUGUUGACCUGUAAUCUGAAGCCAAGUUGAAAUAUUUGCUUUUUCUGUGUUUCGUUAUGUUAAAUAUUAAUAGAAAGGGACAUAAUCAUGGCACCUCAAGUUUUGCAACAAUUUUAUGAUUUCGUGUAGCUGUAGAGUUGGUAUUCCAGUCAAUUUGGGGUAAUUUUAAAGCUGACAAAAUAGUUGUACUAGAUUACGAAAUAAACCACAAAUCUUGGUGCAGUAAAUAUUGUUGAUGUUAUAGUAAAAAUUGUUAGGUGUUGUUCUUACUGGAAUUGAGUUUGGAUAUUUUAUUUAGUGCUUGCUGUAAGAAAAAAGUGCACAUUACUUUUGUUGUGAGAGCACACUGCAGAUACAAAUUUAUCAGCUCUUUGUAUACUCUUUAAAGGUAGUAAUCUGUAUUUUAGAAAAAAAUGAAGCAAAGAUAACUAUAAAGAGUUCUAAUUACCUUUGAAAAUUAUUUUGUUUUUUUAGAUUUCAUUUUAAAGGAGGAGGAGUUCUCAGUGUUGAACUGCUUUUACUAAUAGAAUGUGACCCACCCUUUUUGUGUUUUUAUACAGAGCCAUUUAAAGUCCUGACUUACAUUGCUCAGAGUUCUUUAAGGGGAAAAAAAAACAACUUUUCUGUUGUGCAGGGAAAAAUGACUUCAGUCUUGUUGAUGCUGAAAUCCAGGCUGUCUCACUGAAACACAGGAAAUUAGUUUCAAAAAUUGUUGUGCUAAUUAGGAGUUUAUUGUAAAAAAGGAAAAGAAGUCUGUUAUACUUACUUGGGAUGUACAAGCAUGCUAAAAUAAAAUUUUUAUUUAA